rnacentral:rRNA from 1 species
CCUACGGGAGGCAGCAGUGGGGAAUAUUGCACAAUGGGGGAAACCCUGAUGCAGCGACGCCGCGUGAGUGAAGAAGUAUUUCGGUACGUAAAGCUCUAUCAGCAGGGAAGAAAAUGACGGUACCUGACUAAGAAGCCCCGGCUAACUACGUGCCAGCAGCCGCGGUAAUACGUAGGGGGCAAGCGUUAUCCGGAUUUACUGGGUGUAAAGGGAGCGUAGACGGCAGCGCAAGUCUGGAGUGAAAUCCCAUGGCUUAACCAUGGAACUGCUUUGGAAACUGUACAGCUAGAGUGCAGGAGAGGUAAGCGGAAUUCCUAGUGUAGCGGUGAAAUGCGUAGAUAUUAGGAGGAACACCAGUGGCGAAGGCGGCUUACUGGACUGUAACUGACGUUGAGGCUCGAAAGCGUGGGGAGCAAACAGGAUUAGAUACCCCUGUAGUC